UACGUAGGGUGCGAGCGUUAAUCGGAAUUACUGGGCGUAAAGCGUGCGCAGGCGGUUUUGGAAGCCAGAUGUGAAAGCCCCGGGCUCAACCUGGGAACUGCAUUUGGGACUGCAAGGCUGGAGUACGGCAGAGGGAGGUGGAAUUCCACGUGUAGCAGUGAAAUGCGUAGAGAUGUGGAGGAACACCGAUGGCGAAGGCAGCCUCCUGGGCUAGUACUGACGCUCAUGCACGAAAGCGUGGGGAGCAAACAGG
rnacentral:rRNA from 1 species